CUCCUCACAUCGUCCUCGCUGGCCGCAUCGUGGAGUGAGCGCUGUUCGCUGUUGUUGUCAUCAGCACUGUCUACGGUGAGCACUCGCGCUCUGCUAUUGACCAUCACACCGACAGGACUGUGUAAGUCCUACUCUCUCAUCUCUCGCUUGUUCCAUUUCUUUUACACGUUCCAGGAAAGAAUUACAUGCUCAGGAUAAUUGCUGCGUGUGGGUUUCUUUUUGUAUACUUGAAAACUAAAAAAAAACGAGGAAAUAAUUCUCGUGAGCUCUGUGCUGUGUUCGGGGUCUUUUCAUCGUGUUUACUGCUCAGCUGUAGAGGGAUGGACGAGGCUAUUAGCCAAAGGGAUUUCAGUUUGUGACUUUUAUUGAUGUGCCCACUCAAUUAAUUGGAUUAAGCCCUUAAACGUCGCUGUGAUUUCAGGAGUGUGUGGACAGCUUUUGAAGUGUGCUCUACUCUAACGCCGGACAAUCUUCAACCCUCAGGUAAUAUUUACAAAGCCUGCUCAUGCUUCACCUCCCGAGAUGACUGUGUUGACACUGUGACGGAGUACACGAUCAUCGCAGGGUGCUGCUAGCCGCUGAUGGUAUACGACGUAUUACUACAGA